CAGACUUGUAUAUAAAAUCAUAACAUUCUGUUCGUAGCGUCUAUGAAAUGGCUAACGGACGGCAGAUCUUUUGGCCGGCUGUGAAACUGUUUGGUUUGCCGCCGGUGAGAUUAGUAACUACUUCUCACAGCUUUCUCCAACAUCGAUCCCCAUUACAUUUACAACCAGCUAGCUUUCCUUUCACAAGCAACUCUAUCUAGCUAUGCACCCUUCACUUAUAUCCUUACAAACAAAUUCAUAUCAAUCCAGCCUACAUUCUCCACAACUGAACUAGCUACCAGCUUACCACAAACAGGAAACAAAUAUUUUAUUGUUUCGGUUAACCAAAGAAUCGGGUCAUCAUUUGAUAACCAACGUAAAAUUAGCCAUCUUUCAGAUUGAGACACUGUUCGGAAUUCCCUUCCCAGUGAGCCCUCCUUCUCUGGAGUAAUCCGAUGUACUCGGAAACAGCAACGUGUAAGGUACCUUAACCGGCCCAACUCUGUUCUUCAAUCUAGGGUUAUUGUUCAUUUCCAUGAUUCUCCCCUCAAUUUUGACUAGCUUAUCCCCAAAUCGUUUGAACGCCGCUAGCGGUUCAUCGUCUGUAGUCCACUCCACUGUUUCUCGCUGGCCAAGGUAAACCUCGUCUGUGGAAUGCCUUGAUAGCGAUUCAAUGAGUGAUAUCCCUAGCAGAGUUUGUAGCUGCGCUGUGAUUGUUUUCAGGUAGGCCAAGUCCGGAUCUUUCUCUAAUUCCACAUAUUCAGGAGUACCUAGCUCCGGCAUGAAACGCCGGCUGAUGGUGGGACGGUUUGGGAGGUAUCCAGCGUAAGGGUAUUGCCCGAAAUUCACUGCUGCGUGGAGCGCUGAAGCUACCCAUAUGAUGAUGGUGCAUGAUUGUGUGAGGUCUUGGAAAUUUUGCAUCUCUGGCCACCAUGGUUCGUCUUUCUUAUCUCCAUGGCCUUCGUUUCUCAAUUCUGACCACCAGGAUUGGAGUUCCUCGUCGUUCUGGAUCAACUCAUCUGUAGGGUAGUAGAAACUGCAGUACUCCUGCACCCAUGUUUCGAUUGCUGACCAAAUUUCUAGUCCAUCGUUGGCGUAAGGGUAGUCCUCUAUCAGAAGUUUGAGCCCAUGUGGCUUGGUUUGAUCUGGUACUGCUACUCCUCUGAAAGUUUGAUACAGUCUUCUAAAUCAGAAAUCUGGAUACAAGACCUUGAUAAUAAUACCAGUUGAAGAUUUUUCAUGGUUUUUCUUACCUCUUUAUCAGGUCGGCAGGGAGUCCUUGUUCAGUGAAUAUCCAGUUUUUGUACACAACAGCUGACAUUUCCAUGGCGUAUCUUGCUGGGAAGACUGUCAUCUCUAGUAUACCACCAGCAUUGAUAAGGAUCUGUCUGGCAAAUGCAUUUAUAUUCAUUGUGUCGCG
rnacentral:lncRNA from 1 species